rnacentral:rRNA from 1 species
UACGGGGGGGGCAAGCGUUGUCCGGAAUUACUGGGGGUAAAGGGCGCGUAGGCGGCCAACUAAGUCGGAUGUGAAAUCCCCAGGCUUAACCUGGGAACUGCAUCCGAUACUGGAUGGCUUGAAUUCGGGAGAGGGAUGCAGAAUUCCAGGUGUAGCGGUGAAAUGCGUAGAUAUCUGGAGGAAUACCGGUGGCGAAGGCGGCAUCCUGGACCGACAUUGACGCUGAGGAGCGAAAGCUAGGGGAGCAAACGGG